rnacentral:rRNA from 1 species
CGGUAAUUCCAGCUCCAAUAGCGUAUACUAAAGUUGUUGCAGUUAAAAAGCUCGUAGUUGGAUUUCUGCGGGGACGGAGCGGCCGGUCGCAACUUGCGACUCGAGCUAGCGCUUUCCCCGCAUCCUGCCGCGAACCGUGCUACCAUUAGCUUGGUGGCGCUGGGGAUCGGCUCGAUUACUUUGAGAAAAAUAGAGUGUUCAAAGCAGGCCACACGCCUUGAAUAAGUUAGCAUGGAAUAAUGACUAAGGACUUCGGUUCUAUUUUGUUGGUGUUCGGGACUGAAGUAAUGAUUGAUAGGGACAGUUGGGGCGGUCUGUAUUCCAAAGCGAGAGGUGAAAUUCUUAGACCUUCGGAAGACAAACAGCUGCGAAAGCGUUCCGCAAGGAUGUUCCCUUUGAUCAAGAACGAAAGUUGGGGGAUCGAAGACGAUCAGAUACCGUCGUAGUCUCAACUAUAAACUAUACCAGCUAGGGAUCGGUCAACGUUUAAUCAUUCGACUUGAUCGGCACCUUAUGAGAAAUCAAAGCAUCUGGGUUCCGGGGGGAGUAUGGUCGCAAGGCUGAAACUUAAAGGAAUUGACGGAAGGGCACCACCAGCCGUGGAGCCUGUGGCUUAAUUUGACUCAACACGGGAAAACUUACCAGGUCCAGACAUAGUAAGGAUUGACAGAUUGAUAGCUCUUUCUUGAUUCUGUGGGUGGUGGUGCAUGGCCGUUCUUAGUUGGUGGAGUGAUUUGUCUGGUUAAUUCCGUUAACGAACGAGACCCCAGCCUGCUAAAUAGCGCGGCUGAGCUUUGCUCGGUGCGAGCUUCUUAGAGGGACUAUGAUGCGCGAUAGCACAUGGAAGUUUGGGGCAAUAACAGGUCUGUGAUGCCCUUAGAUGUUCUGGUCCGCACACGGGCUACACUGGCGCCUGCAACGAGCAUAUCAGCUGGCCCGAGAGGGUCUUGGCUAAUCUUUUGAACCGGCGCCGUGCUUGGGAUUGACCAUUGCAAUUGUUGGUCAUGCAACGAGGAAUGCCUUGUAAACGCGAGUCAUCAGCUCGCAUUGAAUACGUCCCUGCCCUUUGUACACACCGCCCGUCGCUCCUACCGAUGAAUGUUCCGAUGAAAUUUUCGGAGAGCGCCAGAGAACGGGGCUCUGCCUUGCAGAUCUGGAGGCUCAAAGUCACUUAAAUCUGAACAUUUCGAGGAAGGAGAAGUCGUAACAAGGUAACC